UGGCGUGACCCCUGGCCUCUUCUAUCUUUAAAAGAGUAAGAGCAGAAGCUGCCUUUUCAGCUGCUUUAAGAAAUCACAGUGGUGUAAAUUCUUAAGCUUCUUUAAGCACUUUAUGUGGACUGAUGCAAGCUUCUUUAAGGCCUUGAUGUGCGCUAAUUACAGACAUCCCUUCAAAAGGUCUCCUUUUCUUCAUAGAAUGCAGACUUGGGGCAUCUCUAAUUCUCGUAAUUUCUUCUAGGUUUUGGUGUCUAAAAAUGUAUGCUCCGUGCUAGGCGUUGCAUGUUGAGCUUUACAGCUUUCCCUUGUGAUGCAUGUGGAAGGACACUGUAGCAAUUUUUAUUUUAUUUUUUCCUCAGGGAAGCUAUUCUUGAAAACUGUGGCAAGAUCGAAGACAGUUGAAUCCAGUUUUAUUAAACGUAUAAAAUAAUGAAAUGCUCUCAGGGAAGAUACCGAACCUGGGGGGCUUUCGGUGCUGAAGGUGGAUAUACCAAAGAUCAGUCUGUAAAAUGAGCUGUUACCUUCUUAUAACAGUUCAUUCUUAUCUUCUAAUAUCUGCCUUACCCCGGACCACGCAGAUGCUGCCGUUGUGAUGCAGUACCAUUCUGUGAAGGUGAAAUUCAGAUGGAAGACAGGAACCUGCUCAGCUGUACCCCAUACAGGUGAGGGACAAAGAUGGAAGACACAGAGUGAAUGAAAACUCCUGAUAAAAGCUGUGCCUGCAAUGUUUCUUGCUUGCUGCAUUGUACGCAGUCUGAGAUGUAGAGGGCAAAUUAAGUACUGUACUGGAAAGGCAGUGUCAUCCCUGAGAUGCUGCAAUUGCUAAGAGUCUACGGAUUAGGCUCCAUCUUAAGACAAAGCUAAAUAUGUGCAUAAUAUAUACUAUUGUGUAAUAUUUUUAUGAAAUGAGCCCUGGUUGUAUUUUAAGUUCUGUUUAUAGUCAUUUCUUGUGGCAGCGUAUUUCUGCUUUGUUCAGUUGUCUUAACAUUGUGAUUUUUUUUUCUUUGUGAAUGACAAGUGUAUUAUUAAACUGAAUAUCUGGAUUGCA